rnacentral:rRNA from 1 species
UACAGAGGCCCCAAGCGUUACUGAGAAUCACUGGGUUUAAAGGGUGCGUAGGUGGCGCGUUAAGUCCGUUGUGAAAUCCCUUGGCUCAACCAAGGAAUGGCUUCGGAUACUGGCGUGCUUGAGGCCGGUAAGGGUCACUGGAACUGACGGUGGAGCGGUGAAAUGCGUAGAUAUCGGGAGGAACACCAAUGGCGAAGGCGGCGGCCUGGGUUGACACUGACGCUGAGGCGCGAAAGCGUGGGGAGCAAACAGG